GAGGCUACCGCUAUUGGAGUUCGAUUAAGCCAUGCGAGUCGCGAGAAAUUAGAUUCUCGGCGUACCGCUCAGUAACACGUGGGUAACCUGCCCUAUGCUGGAUAAUAACCUCGGGAAACUGAGAAUAAUGAUCCAUAGUUCACUACGCCUGGAACGGUGAGUGGAUGAAAGCUCCGGCGGCAUAGGAUGGGCCUGCGGCGUAUCAGGUUGUAGGGGGUGUAACGUACCCUCUAGCCCUCUACGCGUACGGGUGUUGGGAGACAUAGCCCGGAGAUGGAUUCUGAGACACGAAUCCAGACCCUACGGGGUGCAGCAGGCGCGAAAACUUGGCAAUGCGAGAAAUCGUGACCAGGGAACUCCAAGUGCAUCGGGUAAGACCGGUGCUUUUCUUGACUCUAAAUAGGUCUUGGAAUAAGGGGUGGGUAAGGACGGUGCCAGCCGCCGCGGUAAUACCGGCGCCUCAAGUGGUAGUCGCUUUUAUUGGGCCUAAAACGUCCGUAGCCGGUCUGAUACAUUCGUGGGUAAAUCAACCAGCUUAACUGGUUGAAUUCUGCGAGGACGGUCAGACUUGGGACCGGGAGAGGUGUGGGGUACGCUCAGGGUAGGGGUAAAAUCCUGUCAUCCUGAGCGGACCACCUGUUGCGAAGGCGCCACACUAGAACGGAUCCGACGGUCAGGGACGAAGCCUAGGGGCACGAACCCGGAUUAGAUACCCGGGGUAGUCCCAGCUGUAAACUAUGCAAACUCAGUGAUGCAUUGGCUUGUGGCCAAUGCAGUGCUGCAGGGAAGCCGUUAAGUUUGCCGCCUGGGAAGUACGUACGCAAGUAUGAAACUUAAAGGAAUUGGCGGGGGAGCACCACAAGGGGUGAAGCCUGCGGUUCAAUUGGAGUCAACGCCAGAAAUCUUACCCGGAGAGACAGCAGAAUGAAGGUCAAGCUGAAGACUUUACCAGACAAGCUGAGAGGUGGUGCAUGGCCGUCGCCAGCUCGUGCCGUGAGAUGUCCUGUUAAGUCAGGUAACGAGCGAGAUCCCUGCCUCUAGUUGCCACCAUUACUCUCAGGAGUAGUGGGGCGAAUUAGCGGGACCGCCGCAGUUAAUGCGGAGGAAGGAAGGGGCCACGGCAGGUCAGUAUGCCCCGAAACUCUGGGGCCACACGCGGGCUGCAAUGGUAACGACAAUUGGUUUCGAAUCCGAAAGGAUGAGGUAAUCCUCAAACGUUACCACAGUUAUGACUGAGGGCUGCAACUCGCCCUCACGAAUAUGGAAUCCCUAGUAACUGCGUGUCAUUAUUGCGCGGUGAAUACGUCCCUGCUCCUGCACACACCGCCCGU
rnacentral:rRNA from 1 species